rnacentral:lncRNA from 1 species
AAGCACUUAAGAGAAAUCGAACAACAAAAGAAAAAAACAAUACAUAUACAUAAGGUAAACCAAUCUAAAUACAUGAAUAAACUAGUUUGAAGGGUGCAAAAUAAUCAUUUAAUCGAUUGUCUGAUUACAAAUCUCAGCGUGAAUAAGCCAUCUUCAUGUUCAUCCAAUCUCAAACAUUAACAGGUGCAGAGAAUACCUGAAAAGUGAGGUGAAACAAAAGAGAAAGAGAUUAGUAGCCAAGUAGAAAGGAAACAAAACCCAGCAACCCAGAAUUCAACAAAAUCAGACGUGAAAAAGACCAAAAAGAAGGUGCAAUAGUACAAAAAACAACUCAAUCAAAUGGUAACUCAACCAACUUCAAACCGGAUUAAAACCAAAUCCAAUCUACAAACACCCAAUGGACCAAAGAGUGCUUCAACAAAUUGGGACUAUAGAAAUCAAAGAAGGAAAUAAAUGGAAUAGUGAAAAUUUUAGCCGUUCUUUUUUCUGUAUUUUCAGCUCUCCAAAAAAAUCUCCCUUCAGAUUAGAAUAGCA